ensembl:snRNA U6 U6 spliceosomal RNA
UUGCUUUGGCAGCACAUAUACUAAAAUUGGAAUGAUACAGAGAAGAUUAGCAUGGCCCCUGCACAAGGAUGACAUGCAAAUUCGUGAAGCGUUCCAUAUUUUU